GCUCGGGUGGCGGAAUUGGUAGACGCGCAGGCUUGAGGGGCCUGUCCUGAUUUUCAGGGUGGGAGUUCAAAUCUCCCCUCGAGCA
rnacentral:tRNA from 1 species